rnacentral:rRNA from 1 species
UACGUAGGGGGCAAGCGUUGUCCGGAUUUAUUGGGCGUAAAGAGCGUGUAGGCGGCCACACAGGUCAGCUGUGAAAACUCGAGGCUCAACCUCGAGACGUCGGUUGAAACCGUAUGGCUAGAGUCCGGAAGAGGAGAGUGGAAUUCCCGGUGUAGCGGUGAAAUGCGCAGAUAUCGGGAAGAACACCCGUGGCGAAGGCGGCUCUCUGGAACGCAACUGACGCUGAGACGCGAAAGCGUGGGGAGCAAACAGG